GACGAACGCUGGCGGCGUGCUUAACACAUGCAAGUCGAACGGAAAGGCCCUGCUUGCAGGGUACUCGAGUGGCGAACGGGUGAGUAACACGUGGGUGAUCUGCCCUGCACUUCGGGAUAAGCCUGGGAAACUGGGUCUAAUACCGGAUAGGAGCCAUUUUUAGUGUGAUGGUUGGAAAGUUUUUUCGGUGUAGGAUGAGCUCGCGGUCUAUCAGCUUGUUGGUGGGGUAAUGGCCUACCAAGGCGGCGACGGGUAGCCGGCCUGAGAGGGUGGACGGCCACAUUGGGACUGAGAUACGGCCCAGACUCCUACGGGAGGCAGCAGUGGGGAAUAUUGCACAAUGGGCGCAAGCCUGAUGCAGCGACGCCGCGGGGGGGAUGACGGCCUUCGGGUUGUAAACUCCUUUCGCUAGGGACGAAGCUUUUUGUGACGGUACCUAGAGAAGAAGCACCGGCUAACUACGUG
rnacentral:rRNA from 1 species